UCCCUGCUGGCUUAGAGGGUAAAGCAUCCACCUGCAAGGCGGAAGACCUGGGUUCGAUCCCUGGGUCAGGAA
rnacentral:tRNA from 1 species